AUACAGCAAUUAAGGUAGCCACCUAUACAUGGACAACAACGAAAAAUUUUAAAAAAACCAUUCACAGUAUAGCUUGAUGAAAAAUACACUUCAGAAUUAUAAUUCAAGUGGCAAAAAUGCCAAUCACAGAUCAAAGGUUUGGUUUCAAAAUUUUGCAGAACACUGUAGAGUGCAUCCCUUUUAUAGAAGCAUUGCUUGAAUAAAUUAACCUUACCAGUUGAGCCACCACAAAUGCA
rnacentral:misc_RNA from 1 species